rnacentral:rRNA from 1 species
CUACGGGAGGCAGCAGUGAGGAAUAUUGCACAAUGGGGGGAACCCUGAUGCAGCAACGCCGCGUGGAGGAUGACGCAUUUCGGUGUGUAAACUCCUUUUAUAUGUCAAGAAAAUGACGGUAGCAUAUGAAUAAGCACCGGCUAACUCCGUGCCAGCAGCCGCGGUAAUACGGAGGGUGCAAGCGUUACUCGGAAUCACUGGGCGUAAAGGACGCGUAGGCGGGUUGGAAAGUCAGGUGUGAAAUCCUACAGCUUAACUGUAGAACUGCACUUGAAACUUCUAAUCUAGAGUAUGGGAGGGGGAGAUGGAAUUAGUGGUGUAGGGGUAAAAUCCGUAGAUAUCACUAGGAAUACCUAAAGCGAAGGCGAUCUCCUGGAACAUUACUGACGCUAAGGCGUGAAAGCGUGGGGAGCAAACAGGAUUAGAUACCCGCGAGUC